CAGCCGCCGCGGUAACACGGAGGGAGCUAGCGUUGUUCGGAAUUACUGGGCGUAAAGCGCGCGUAGGCGGUUACUCAAGUCAGAGGUGAAAGCCCGGGGCUCAACCCCGGAACUGCCUUUGAAACUAGGUGACUAGAAUCUUGGAGAGGUCAGUGGAAUUCCGAGUGUAGAGGUGAAAUUCGUAGAUAUUCGGAAGAACACCAGUGGCGAAGGCGACUGACUGGACAAGUAUUGACGCUGAGGUGCGAAAGCGUGGGGAGCAAACAGGAUUAGAUACCCCUGUAGUCCCUGUCUCUUAUAA
rnacentral:rRNA from 1 species